UUAAAUUGAAGAGUUUGAUCAUGGCUCAGAUUGAACGCUGGCGGCAGGCCUAACACAUGCAAGUCGAACGGUAGCACAGAGAGCUUGCUCUCGGGUGACGAGUGGCGGACGGGUGAGUAAUGUCUGGGAAACUGCCUGAUGGAGGGGGAUAACUACUGGAAACGGUAGCUAAUACCGCAUAACGUCGCAAGACCAAAGAGGGGGACCUUCGGGCCUCUUGCCAUCAGAUGUGCCCAGAUGGGAUUAGCUCGUAGUUGGGGUAACGGCGCACCUAGGCGCCGAUCCCUAGCUGGUCUUAGCGGAUGAACA
rnacentral:rRNA from 1 species